rnacentral:lncRNA from 1 species
UUGAUAUGAUUAAUUCAAUAAUAAGUAACUAAAACAAGGAUAGGAAGUUAGAACAAGCGUUUUGCUUUAAAAUACUGUUUAACAAUAAGCCGCCUAUAGAACAAGCGACCUGCACAAUAAGUGAUUUUUUGACCUUUUUUUGUGGUCCAAAAUAAGUAAUUUUUUCAUAUUUCAAGAAUGAAUUGGUCAUUUUUUUCUUAAUAUUGCCCUUAGAGUAAUUAGUGUUGGAGUAUGUG